UAAAACAAUCCUAAUUAAAUACUAUGGAUAUUUAAUGAUUCUUACGCAUCUUAAUUGAAUACCCGGGAGUUUGAUUGUUAAAUAUCCAUAUAAAUCCUAAUUCAAUACACCCAUGUUAGUUUGCUCUGUCUGGAAUUAGGUAUAAGUUUUCUCUCUUUAAUCACAAUGGAGGACGUUAUUGAUGGAGUAACUAACCUCAACAUCAACGAUUCACACAAGAAGAAUCGAAUUGAAGUAUCUAAUACUAAAAAACCCCUCUUCUUCUAUGUAAAUCUUUCCAAGGUAGGAUUUUAUCCAGUUUGCAUUGGAUGAUUAAUAUUUUUGAAUUGUUGUUAACUGAACUCUUAAACUAUCAUGGAAAACAAAGUCAUGCUUGGAUGUCAGCGAGGUUGAGGAUUUUAAACAAAGUGAUUUGGAGAAGCUGGGUGCUUCAUAUGUAGUUCAGUUUGCCUCAGAUCCAUCUAGGUUGAUGGGAUACUGUUCUUAUAGGGAACUUGGUAGGUCUCUCGCUAAAGUUUGCCUUGGAAAUAGUUUACUCGAUGCUUCAUUCCUUGAUGGAGUCUGCGAGAUCAAUCGUCUCUUUUAAAAAGGUUAUUUGUGGUAUCAGGCUUUUCAUGAGCUUCUGUAGCUAAUCUUCUUACAGCCACUCAGUAACUUAUUUAACUGUCUUCACUUCUAGAGUGAGUGAAUUUCUUAUGGUUGAGGAAAAGAAGGUUCUAUAAGUUACUGGGCGAUUGCAAGGACAUUGGAUGUGAUCAACUAAAACUACUUGCCAAAGAAAUGGUGAAACAGCUUGAUAGAACCUAGAAUUAAGACUGUUUGUGCAAUCAAAAGGUAUUGCUGUGAUAAUUAUCAUGGAUAAAUUAUACAAUGACAACGGUUGGUGAGAAUUUCAGUUGCUCAAUCACUUUUUGUCUUAGUAGAGUUUCUUAUCAAUUUCUUCCUUCAUAUCUUAUAAAAGCUUUGAUUUGAUUCAUGCACAGUCGGUUUCCAUGUUUUCUACGAACAAUUAAGUAAUGUACAUGAUAUAUAUGCUAUAACAGGUUGGCAGAAGUAUGUACUUUUUAUAAUCUAGAUGUAGAAAACAGGGUCAGGCAAUAGCUUGGAUCAGAAUAUGGAUUUCAAUAGUAUUAUCCUCAUUUCAAUAGUGUUACUGUUAGUUUAGUAGGAUUUUGUCUUUGUUUUUCGGUUUAUUUUGUAGGUAACAAUAGCUAUGUAUCAAUUAUAAACCCAUAGAAAAUCAAAACUUGCAUGAACUUGGUAUUUUCUCCUGUUCGGAAAAAAUUGUCCCAAAUAAUGGACACCAGUGGACCAAUAGGAACCAAGUAACCUAAUUUUUACAAUUAGAUAAUAGUCAGAGUUGUAUCCGUGGAAGACCUAAAUGGAUUGGAGUUCACGCUUUCAAAUAUGUUACCGUGCACAUCAUCGAGCAAAGACAACUUUUCGUAAAUGCAUAUCAUAGAAGUCCAAUGCAUUUUUUUAUAUAAUUUGUCUGCAUUAUCGACUUUAUUAAGCAGAAGCUCCCUUACUUUUCUGAUGUCUAGAUAUUGUGCCAAUGGGACCUCUAAUGUCAGAUAUCGCAUAAUUUCGAAAUACUCAAAUAUUUAUGUGGUAAUCACACUUUUACUUUCUUUAUCUCUUUUUAGGUGAUAUUUUUUACAUCUCAUAAUGAAGUUUCCAGUGAAGUUUUCCCUCAUAAUGAUGUUUGAGGCUAAUGUGCACCCAUUGCCUGACACUCGGUAUUAAGUAUCAGUAUUAUGUAAACUUCAGCAAUCAGUUUGUGGGAAACUCAUAAGGAUUAUGAUCGUCUUCAUUAGAGAUAAUUCCUGUUUGUUUUAUCUAAUCUGGCAUUAUUUGUAUCUUUUUCUUUGCUUUUCUGUCUAAUCUGUGUUUUGGUGUUAAUCUAUAGAAAUGAUAUUUGAAGCUGUUAUACUUCUGAUGGGUAAAAAAUUGAAAGGAUGUGUGUGGGUUGGGAAGGUUCAGUGGAACUAAACUUUAUUUUUUUAUUUUUUUGCAAUUCUUAUGUUACAAAGUUAUUAAGGAGACGUGCUUAAAGUUGAUUUGUCGUUCUUCGAUAUUUGUGUUUAAUUUCCACAUCUCUAUUCAAAUAUCUUCUCAUCUCAAUCCUAAGUUACUCACAUGAAUACCUUUUUUUAGGUAUGCAUUUAUGAUUCAAAGAGAACUUACAAUGAGAUUGGUAGCCCAGCCAGUGGGGUACCAAGUUGGUCUGAUUGUGAGCGUUGAAGAUAGAAGCCAUUGUUGGUGUCCCAGAUACAUUCUGGAGGUAACUCACUUGAAUUAGAUUCUUACGAAGUGUAACAGUUACAUAAACAUGCAAUGCAUGCUGAUUGAUGCAUGAACUGUAGCUCAUCAAGUGACCGAUGCAAUGUACAAUAAGAUUGGUUGAGAACAGAUAACUCCCUAGCUGAUGGUUGUGUAGUAACUGCAGCUGAAACUAAUGGAGGUAAUAGUAAUACAUAUGAUCUUUACGCACAAAAUUGAUCAAUCAUGCAUAUCCCCAUGAGCUCUUAGUUACUAAUCUCUAGCCUCAUGAGCUCUUAGUUUUUAAUCUCUAGAAUAGUACUCUACUCAGUAUAUAUAAAAUGUGCACAAACCCACAACCAGAUACGAAGAGUUCACUGCGAGUUGUAUCAUUUUCGUCCCAUUUUUGGAAUAUAGUGAAAGAAUGAUUAAUUGUUGCUUGAUAGAAGUUAGAUAGGCCAGUUUCAACUUACUGAACUUCAUGUGUUCCUCAAGUACAAUAGAUGGCUAGAUAUAUUAAAAAAUUAUAAGAAAACGUAGAAGUAUGAGUUCAUAUAUCUGAAUAUUUUUUGGUAUUCCCAUCAGCUGUCACUAUUACUUGAAAACUUGGUAGGAACUAAUUUCGUUAUGUUGGUUGAAGUAACAGAGUACGAAAAUCAAACUUGCAUGUUUUUGAUGAAACGUAAUUUAUUUAUGCUCAGCCAUAAAGGUGCCAUUUAUGUUUUGGUAGAUUCGCAGAAGCAGCAGUGCUGUUCUACUUUUACCUUUAGAUUUGUGAUUUUGACAUGUUUAAUUUCUUUUAGAACAAAGUUUCAUGGUUCAAACUGGUUCAUUAUAAAUGAAUUGUGUCUGUGGCACAAUGGUAGUGCGUCUGACAUCAAGUUAGAAGGUUGUGUGUUCGAUCCACACCAGAUUCAGUCUUUUAUUAGUAACCGUUAUGCUAUUUGCAUGUCAAUUGCGUACUACAACUAUAGCGAAUAGUGUCGGCAUGCACGUCUUAAGUGCCAGUCUUGAUACAAUUGAAGUAUAUUAAUCUGUAUUUCCAUUUUGAAGGCUUUAUUUGUUGUGGUUCUGUGAACUUACCCUUUCGUGUGCCUGAAAUUUGUGGUAUUCAUAUACUCUGUGAGCAGAGUUUGCUAAUGAAUUUACAUAUUUGAAACCGUUUCAGUGUUUGAGAUUUCUUUAGUAUUCGGUUUUGUACUAGGUGUUAUUCCUUUAAGAAUGGAAUCUUAUAAUCUGUAACAUUUACCAAUUCAACACGGACAUUUCUAAUUAGGGUGUUAUCCCUUUUAGCAUUACUUAGAACUUUAACGAGCCUGCUGUAACCAUUUGAGGAGUCUGCUCUUAUGAAUAGUGUAACCAUGUGCGAUGGAGCUGUAAUUUCAAUGGUGGAGCUGGAGCUUUCUCUUAUAAUAUAUUCUUGGGAAAGAAAUCAACGCCGAUUAAGCCAUCAAACCUUAAAAAAGGGCCGCGGGGAACUGGAAGAUGUUAUGUUUAAACUUUUUGAGAGGCAGCCAAGUUAAAAACUGAAGGAGUUGGUCCAAGAGACUGAUCAGCCUAAUGUGAUGACAAUUCAUUUCUGAAAUUCCUUUAUGGAUUGUAAUUACCAACUCCCCAAACACAUCCUUACUUACCUCCCAAACUUAGGUGAAGAAAAGAAAUGGAUUAAUGAGAGGUGCAGAUGAUGACACUUUGGAUGGGGAGGAGAGUAAGGAGGUGUUUGGGGAGUUGAAUAUAAUCUCCGUUAAUUUUAAAUUUACUCUCUUUAAAA